rnacentral:tRNA from 5 species
GGGGGGUUGGCGGAAUUGGUAGACGCACUGGAUUUAGGUUCCAGCGCCGUAAGGUGUAAGAGUUCGAGUCUCUUAUCCCCCACCA